rnacentral:rRNA from 1 species
CAAGUCGCACGAGAAAGUGGAGCAAUCCAUGAGUAAAGUGGCGCACGGGUGAGUAACACGUGAAUCAUCUACCUCCGAGUGGGGAAUAACCUAGAGAAAUCUGGGCUAAUACCGCAUAACACUUACGAGUCAAAGCAGCAAUGCGCUUGGAGAGGAGUUCGCGGCCGAUUAGCUAGUUGGCGGGGUAAUGGCCCACCAAGGCGAUGAUCGGUAUCCGGCCUGAGAGGGCGCACGGACACACUGGAACUGAAACACGGUCCAGACUCCUACGGGAGGCAGCAGUGGGGAAUUUUGCGCAAUGGGGGAAACCCUGACGCAGCAACGCCGCGUGGAGGAUGAAAUCCCUUGGGAUGUAAACUCCUUUCGAUGGGGAAGAUUAUGACGGUACCCAUAGAAGAAGCCCCGGCUAACUUCGUGCCAGCAGCCGCGGUAAUACGAGGGGGGCAAGCGUUGUUCGGAAUUAUUGGGCGUAAAGGGUGCGUAGGCGGUUUGACAAGUCUGAUGUGAAAUCUAUGGGCUCAACCCAUAGUCUGCAUCGGAAACUGUCGGGCUUGAGUAUGGGAGAGGUGAGUGGAAUUUCCGGUGUAGCGGUGAAAUGCGUAGAUAUCGGAAGGAACACCUGUGGCGAAAGCGGCUCACUGGACCAUUACUGACGCUGAGGC